rnacentral:lncRNA from 1 species
GGCGAGUGGUGGAACAGAAACGUGGACGAUGUGGAGAAAGAUGCGCACCUGACCGGCCUAGGACCGGACGUGUCGGACGCCCUCACCAUCAACGGCAUGCCGGGAGACCAGACCUCCUGCCGAGGUACGUACGGCCGGCUGUUACAAUUUAGAGGAGCCUAAAACUUCCAAGUGGAAAAUGCGACAAAGAAUUUGCCUUGUAUUUUGAACAAAAUAAAUUAGGUGCCGGUGUGUACGAAGUGGAGGUGGAGUACAACCAGACGUACCUCCUCCGCAUCAUCAACGCCGCAGUCAAUGUCGAGCUCUUCUUCAAGGUGUCCGGCCACAACUUCACCGUGGUCGCCAUCGACGCGAGCUACACCGAGCCACACGCCACCGAUGUCAUCGUCAUCGCGCCGGGCCAGACGGUGGACG